rnacentral:rRNA from 1 species
UACCGAGUUUACAACUCCCAAACCCCUGUGAACAUACCUUAAUGUUGCCUCGGCGGAUCAGCCCGCGCCCCGUAAAACGGGACGGCCCGCCAGAGGACCCAAACUCUAAUGUUUCUUAUUGUAACUUCUGAGUAAAACAAACAAAUAAAUCAAAACUUUCAACAACGGAUCUCUUGGUUCUGGCAUCGAUGAAGAACGCAGCAAAAUGCGAUAAGUAAUGUGAAUUGCAGAAUUCAGUGAAUCAUCGAAUCUUUGAACGCACAUUGCGCCCGCUGGUAUUCCGGCGGGCAUGCCUGUUCGAGCGUCAUUUCAACCCUCAAGCCCCCGGGUUUGGUGUUGGGGAUCGGCUCUGCCUUCUGGCGGUGCCGCCCCCGAAAUACAUUGGCGGUCUCGCUGCAGCCUCCAUUGCGUAGUAGCUAACACCUCGCAACUGGAACGCGGCGCGGCCAUGCCGUAAAACCCCAACUUCUGAAUGUUGACCUCGGAUCAGGUAGGAAUACCCGCUGAACUUAAGCAUA